rnacentral:rRNA from 1 species
UACGGAGGAUGCGAGCGUUAUCCGGAUUUAUUGGGUUUAAAGGGUGCGCAGGAGGGAGAUUAAGUCGGCGGUGAAAUUUUGCAGCUCAACUGUAAAAGUGCCUUCGAAACUGGUUUCCUUGAGUGUAGAUGAAGUAGGCGGAAUUUGUGGUGUAGCGGUGAAAUGCAUAGAUAUCACGAGGAACUCCGAUUGCGCAGGCAGCUUACUAAACUACUACUGACGCUCAGGCACGAAGGCGUGGGGAUCAAACAGGAUUAGAUACCCU